UGAUUUAAAAGCCCUACUGACAUACAUUGGUCUUUUUGAACGUGUUUCGACGAGGUUUUCUACAAGGAUUCAGUGAGAAGAGACUCCUGGCUGCAGCAAUAAAUCUGGUUUACUAGUCGUUUAAUGAAAGUGUUAAAAUCACAGCAAGCACAUCGUGGUUGUAAACUUUAGCCACUAGCCAUUUUAGCCAGUUGUGGCUAAAAAAAAGUGAAUGAUGGACACAGCUAGGGCGGACAUAGCCUAUGCUUUUCAUGGUUAAAGUGCCGAAAACUAAUUCAGGUCAAGUAAAGUCAGUGGAGGAGGAUGAAAACGGCAGGAUUGACAGGUGGCUGAGUCUUUUUCUGCAGUUACACCAUUACGCCAGUUGGUGGCGUCAAGUGACUGUCUUUGAGACAAUGUGCAGGCUCUGUCAGUCUCAGUAAUAACGAUGUUGGACAUGUGGGUAUUUAUUACUUAGUACUGAAAUAAUGUCUUAUCCUCAAUACUGUUGGUGCAUGUCGGGGAAGUUUUUAACUUUAUAGCAGA
rnacentral:lncRNA from 1 species